rnacentral:rRNA from 1 species
UACGUAGGGGGCGAGCGUUGUCCGGAGUUACUGGGCGUAAAGGGCAUGCAGGCGGUCGGACGCGUUUCGGGUGACAGCGGGUGGCUUAACUACCCGAGUGGUCGAAAGACGGUUUGACUUGAGGACGCGAGAGGGACACGGAGUUCCGGGUGGAGUGGUGAAAUGCGUAGAGAUCCGGAGGAACACCGAAGGCGAAGGCAGUGUCCUGGCGCGUAACUGACGCUGAGGUGCGAAAGCCAGGGGAGCGAACGGG